rnacentral:rRNA from 1 species
UACGGAGGGUGCAAGCGUUAAUCGGAAUGACUGGGCGUAAAGGGUGCGUAGGUGGCUAAAUAAGUUGUCUGUGAAAUACCCGGGCUUAACCUGGGGCUGUCAGAUGAAACUGUUAAGCUAGAGUCUAGUAGAGGGUAGAGGAAUUUCCGGUGUAGCGGUGAAAUGCGUAGAGAUCGGAAGGAACAUCGGUGGCGAAGGCGUCUACCUGGCCUAAGACUGACACUGAGGCACGAAAGCGUGGGGAGCAAACAGG